CAUCGAUGUUUCUCUCUCUCUCUCUCCCUCCUGCUCUAUCUGAACAAAGAAUGAAAAAGUGUCCUCGGGUGAGGAUUAAAAAAAAUAAAAAAGACAAACUAACGUUUUUGUGAGACAUUGUGGGGCGUUAAGGAAGGAGAUUUCGACUUCGUUACUAAAUAUAAUUCCAUUGCGCUACAAAACCGUCUUCAGGAGGACACACAGGCCCCUGUCUGGCUGCCCGGACCAAUUCCUCAACUGCAGCUGUAAAAACCACUGACGAAAGUUUCAUUCUGAACUUUGUUUUCCUCUUCUGCUAACAUUGCCUUGAGGUUGAGAGGAUGAAGGGGUGCCCCACAAGAAUGUGGUCUCAGGGAUGUUCUGUGGUGACUUCCUUCUCAUUUAGAGAUCUUGGCAUCCCGCUAGCUUGGCAGCCUGGCUGAAGGACAUCUGGAAGGUCGGAGCCCAACCUUAGCAUUCCUACACGCCGCCGGAGAGGCCACGACCACCCAGCCCACAGAUGGCUUGGAGAACCACGGUGCACAUCUCAGCCUGGUGGCAGCUGGACGCAGGCCACCCUGCCCCUUCGAGACGGGACCUGAGAUCAUCCACACCAGCAGUGGUCCUCAGAAGACGGCCCCAAGGGUAGUUUCUGAGUGGUAUCAUUCACCACGCGACAGGCCCUCUGGAAGCAGGGUGCCUGUCCCAGGUAUGUGUCAGCCAUGGGGUCACAUAUAUUUCACCUGCGGAGUGCUGGGAUGGGUAUUGGGGGUGCACAGCUGCUACCCUGUCCCUGGGUUGAGAGAAAGGUAAAGACAAAGAGAGCUGCUCAAAAGUGCCACUGAGCAUCAAUGAGAGACACGGUCUGGCUCAGACCUAUCACUAGCAAUUGAAAGCAAAGUGUCAGAGUUGAAGGGAUCCUGACCGUCUACAGCCGAAGGGCAGGCAGAGGUAACGACCCAGAGCAGGACUUGAGUGUAAAAAGCAGACCUUCAGCUCUAGCUGGUCUGGCUCAGUGGUCAGUGUCAGUGGGAAAAGGUCCGCCGGUGAGAUUAACAGUGUAGCUCUCAGCCUAGGCAAAGGCUCUAUACUUAAUCAGAGAGGGGGACCCGGGGACUAGGGGUGGGAGCCUAUUCCUGAACAGAUGCAGUUUAGAACUGAGGAACUUGACUGAGAUUUCUAACUCUUCUGGACCUGCAGAAUAUGCCUAUAAUGGUUCAUGUUAUGCAUCAACGUAGCUAGACUAUGGUAUUCAGACAUUGGGUCAAACUCCAUUUUGUUUUGCCAUGAACAUAAAUGUGAUUUUUAAAACAUGAUGAACCAUUAAAUCAAAGAGUUUGGGUAAAAGAGAUCAUCCUCUAUAAUACAGGUAGGCCUCAUCCAAUAGUUGAAGAUCUUAAGAGAAAAGACAGAGACGUAUUGAUUCUUCUUCCUCGUUAUCUUCACCCCCACCCUCCUCUUCCAAGGUCAUAACCUCAUCUGCUAUUUCUCCUUCAGUCAAGAUGUGAUGCCCAGGGUCCCCUUCACCUUCUCACCGCCGUAAACCAUCUUCCUCAGCUCCUGCUUCUCCACCGAUGUUCUGUACUGUCCCACAGUCAUCAGUAAGCUCUUGCCCUGCUAAACCUAAGCCGGCAUCUUCAUCAUCAAGCAAAUCAGUUGAGAACUGAGGAACUUGACUGAGAUUGACCAGCCACCAGUCUGCUCACCGAAGGGUCUCAGGCUUGAUUCUGGGUCAAGCAUGUGUCCCUGGGUUGCAUGCUCAGUCCCUGGUUGAACAUGUCCUUGCUGGGUUUUCUUACAGGUGUCGAUUUUUACAUUUGAAGACGUGCAUGUUUUUAGGCACGAGCCCUGGUUGGGAUUGUUCAGGAGGCAGCCAAUCGACGUGUCUCUCUCUCUCUCUCCCUCCCUCCCUCUC